UUAUAUACUACGUCCCCUGCGAUUUAUUUUUAAACUCGAAAUUGAUUUCAAAACUUUUUCUUCCAUGAGAUUUUGAUUUUUACUAGCCUUCAAGGGUUAAUUGAUUCUCUUUCUUUGUUUUGCUUCAUUGAAUCUUUCCAAAAAUAACCACAAAUCUUGUACUUAGACUUUUUGCCUAUUGUAUGACUUUACUAUUUUUUGUGGCAACAAGCCAUUCUACUUAUGUGAUUGAUUCAUCUUUCCUUAUUUGGAACAUAUUAGUAUCCAUCUGAAUAAGAAUCCCCUGAUUAAAGGAAAGACUUAUACUAAUUGAUUCUAAUUUGUGAGCAUGCCCAUAUUUGUGCUUUUACUCUACUCUCUACUCAUUUUUUCAAAAACAAUAAAUACCUCACCCUCUCCUCUUUCGACACAGAAGUUCCAAUGAACACACACACACACAAUAUACUCACUACUUCUCUUCUCUCAAAACACUUUUAAGUUCUCUCAAAGCAUUCGAGUUUUCUGCUGAAAUCAUAAG
rnacentral:lncRNA from 1 species